GACCUGGUGGUGAAAUGUAUCACACCUGUGCUUUAUAACAGGCCUCCUUCUCUAUAUGUAGGAGUUCUCCGGUUCGAAUCCAGGCCAGGUCA